rnacentral:rRNA from 1 species
UACGGGGGGUGCAAGCGUUGUUCGGAAUUACUGGGCGUAAAGGGUGCGUAGGCGGUGCUCUAAGUCGGAUGUGAAAACUCUGGGCUCAACCCAGAGCCUGCAUCCGAAACUGGAGUGCUAGAGUUCUGGAGGGGGUAGCGGAAUUCCUGGUGUAGCGGUGAAAUGCGUAGAUAUCAGGAAGAACACCCGUGGCUAAGGCGGUUCUCUAGUACGGUACUGACGCUGAGACGCGAAAGCGUGGGGAGCGAACAGG